UACGGGGGGAGCAAGCGUUGUUCGGAUUUACUGGGCGUAAAGGGCGCGUAGGCGGCCUCCGCAAGUCAAUUGUGAAAUCUCCGGGCUUAACUCGGAAAGGUCAACUGAUACUGCGGGGCUAGAGUGCAGAAGGGGCAACUGGAAUUCUUGGUGUAGCGGUGAAAUGCGUAGAUAUCAAGAGGAACACCUGCGGCGAAGGCGGGUUGCUGGGCCGACACUGACGCUGAGGCGCGAAAGCUAGGGGAGCGAACGGG
rnacentral:rRNA from 1 species